UAAGUGUUUGAGAUAGAAAAAUAGACAUUCCAAUGGUUUUGUGUAUCUAGUUAUAUAGUAACAGCUACCAUAUAAUUAAGUUCCUGAUGUAUGCCAGGACCAUUCAAAGUACUGAACAAACAUAUCAUUUAAUUUCCUCAACAACCCUGAGAGAUCUGUGGUAUUGUACCCAUUAUUUUAGAUAAAGAAACUGAUAGUCAUAAAAAGUACAACCACUUUCCUAUUUGACUUCAACUGUUAAUUAUUUAAUUCGCUAUAGCCAUAUUAGAAAUAAUUGGGAUAACAAAGAUCUCUUAAUAGGAGGCACUGGAGCUGAUAAUGCUAAUAUCCAGAGAAAAGAAUCUGAUUAUCUUGGAAAGAGGUAUCUUCAGAGGCUAUUAACAUACAGCACUCUGUACUGACUUAUGCUUUACUUGGGGAAAAUUCAAAUUAAACUUGAUUGUCUCUUCUGCUGCUUCUUUUCUCCAUAUUAAUAGUUUAAUCUGCAUAGUGGGUGUUGGAUGUGCACCUUACGGCUGUUUAUAGCAAUUGGUGAAGUACUUAACAUUUUAAAGAAAUUAACUGUCUGGUGAAGAGGACUCCAGAGGACAGAAGAGCAAGAUAUAGACAGGAUGUCUGAUAAUUCUGGCAUUCUGGAAGAAGGAGGAUAAAUGGAGUCGCUUUCUCCUGGUUCUCCUCCAGACUUGCUGACUUCUCUCAUUUUUGGCUAUUGUUUCUUUUUUUUCUAAUUCCCUAAAUGUAGACAUACCCAAAGCUUAUCCUUGGCCAUCUCUUCCUCCAGUGCUGUGUUUCCUCCAUGGGGUAUUUCAUCCAUCUUGUGUCUCAGGAGGCAAGCUGAAAUAUUCACACUUGAAAUCCGAAGGGCUUGUAAAAUACAAUUCAGCACCAUGGACAGCAGAAAAAUCCCAUUGACAGAAUAAAUCUGAAGUUUUCCUUUCCGUAUUCA
rnacentral:lncRNA from 13 species